rnacentral:tRNA from 2 species
GCGAUGCUUGUGCGGCUUAAACCGGCCUCCGAAGCCGAAGGUCGCAGGUUCAAUUCCUGCCAUCUCA